CAGCAGCCGCGGUAAUACGUAGGUGGCAAGCGUUGUCCGGAAUUAUUGGGCGUAAAGCGCGCGCAGGCGGAUAGGUCAGUCUGUCUUAAAAGUUCGGGGCUUAACCCCGUGAUGGGAUGGAAACUGCCAAUCUAGAGUAUCGGAGAGGAAAGUGGAAUUCCUAGUGUAGCGGUGAAAUGCGUAGAUAUUAGGAAGAACACCAGUGGCGAAGGCGACUUUCUGGACGAAAACUGACGCUGAGGCGCGAAAGCCAGGGGAGCGAACGGGAUUAGAUACCCCCGUAGUCCCUGUCUCUUAUACA
rnacentral:rRNA from 1 species